rnacentral:rRNA from 1 species
AUUGAACGCUGGCGGCAGGCCUAACACAUGCAAGUCGAACGGUAACAGGAAGAAGCUUGCUUCUUUGCUGACGAGUGGCGGACGGGUGAGUAAUGUCUGGGAAACUGCCUGAUGGAGGGGGAUAACUACUGGAAACGGUAGCUAAUACCGCAUAACGUCGCAAGACCAAAGAGGGGGACCUUCGGGCCUCUUGCCAUCGGAUGUGCCCAGAUGGGAUUAGCUAGUAGGUGGGGUAACGGCUCACCUAGGCGACGAUCCCUAGCUGGUCUGAGAGGAUGACCAGCCACACCGGAACUGAGACACGGUCCAGACUCCUACGGGAGGCAGCAGUGGGGAAUAUUGCACAAUGGGCGCAAGCCUGAUGCAGCCAUGCCGCGUGUAUGAAGAAGGCCUUCGGGUUGUAAAGUACUUUCAGCGGGGAGGAAGGGAGUAAAGUUAAUACCUUUGCUCAUUGACGUUACCCGCAGAAGAAGCACCGGCUAACUCCGU